UUAACUCAAAAUUGUGUGGAAUUGGAACGUUUGCCUAAGUUUGCCGCUUGGGGCGCUGGUCCAACCGAAACAAAUUUGAGAUA
rnacentral:pre_miRNA from 1 species